GGAGAAACUCUGGCCUGAGAGAAAGGCAGUGACAUGACUUGCCCAGUCAGAGAAGAAAGCUCCUUCAGCUCUUACUGAAACAGAGGUCAGACUGAGACUGAAGUGCACAAUAGGAAGGUGAAUAAAUGGAGAGAGCGGACAUGGAAGAUACCUACCAAAGUACCGGACCCAAGUAAAUGGAAAUAUUUCUAAGAUUGAGGCACAACAGGAAAAAAAAGGAG